CAUGUAGGCGGGUCGUUAAGUCGGGGGUGAAAGCCCAGAGCUCAACUCUGGAACUGCCUUCGAUACUGGCGACCUGGACCCAAGGAGAGGCGAGUGGAAUUCCGAGUGUAGAGGUGAAAUUCGUAGAUAUUCGGAGGAACACCAGUGGCGAAGGCGACUCGCUGGACUUGUGGUGACGCUGAGAUGCGAAAGCGUGGGGAGCAAACA
rnacentral:rRNA from 1 species